UACGUAGGGGGGCAAGCGUUUGUCCGGAUUUACUGGGCGUAAAGAGCGUGUAGGCGGCCAAGCAGGUCCAUUGUGAAAACUGGAGGCUUAACCUCCAGACGUCGACGGAAACCGCGUGGCUAGAGUCCGGAAGAGGAGAGUGGAAUUCCUGGUGUAGCGGUGAAAUGCGCAGAUAUCAGGAAGAACACCAAUGGCGAAGGCAGCUCUCUGGGACGGUACUGACGCUGAGACGCGAAAAGCGUGGGGGAGCGAAACAGGG
rnacentral:rRNA from 1 species